rnacentral:rRNA from 1 species
GACGAACGCUGGCGGCGUGCUUAACACAUGCAAGUCGAACGGAAAGGCCCUGCUUUUGUGGGGUGCUCGAGUGGCGAACGGGUGAGUAACACGUGAGUAACCUGCCCUUGACUUUGGGAUAACUUCAGGAAACUGGGGCUAAUACCGGAUAGGAGCUCCUGCUGCAUGGUGGGGGUUGGAAAGUUUCGGCGGUUGGGGAUGGACUCGCGGCUUAUCAGCUUGUUGGUGGGGUAGUGGCUUACCAAGGCUUUGACGGGUAGCCGGCCUGAGAGGGUGACCGGCCACAUUGGGACUGCGAUACGGCCCAGACUCCUACGGGAGGCAGCAGUGGGGAAUAUUGCACAAUGGGCGGAAGCCUGAUGCAGCAACGCCGCGUGCGGGAUGACGGCCUUCGGGUGGUAAACCGCUUUCGCCUGUGACGAAGCGUGAGUGACGGUAACGGGUAAAGAAGCCCCGGCUAACUACGUG